rnacentral:tRNA from 1 species
CAGAAGUUAAGUAAUGCCUACUUUCUUAGAGCUUUGAAGGCUCUUGGUCUGUGAAUAACCUAAACUUCU